GCUGUGAUGGCUGAGUGGUUAAGGUGUUGGACUUGAAAUCCAGUGGGGUGUCCCCGUGUAGGUUCAAAUCCUGUUCGUGGCG